AUUGUGCAUUCUUCAAUAUGGGUGUAAUUUGAGAUAAAAAAGAAAGAUUUUGACAGAGGAAAUACAGGGCCUAAUGAGAAACACAUGCAUCAACAUUUGUGUCAGCAAUGACGUAUACCCAACCAACACACCCAAACAAUCUUAACUUCUCCGACGGAUACAUUUUGCACUUCAUGGUACAGUAAGCAAUACCUAAAUGCACUUAUAAUGCCCCAUUUGUUUUUUUAAAUCACAGUGAAAAUGUUGUCAAUAUUAACACAGAAAGAACAUAAGAAAAACAUACCUAAAUUAUUCCAACGGCACAGUGCUACAUAAAGCCUUUGAAAGGAACACAUCUCCAGGGAAGACAUCUCCACACGGACUGAAUCUUGAGAAAGAGUACACAAGAUGCUGACAAACCCGCAGUUUGAAAAAAAAAAAAACGACUAAACACAUUAUGUUAAUAUUUAAUGUUGCUGUUCCUCAGGAGGCCACUCUGAGUUGCAUUAGGGCUGUGUGAGAGGGUCUGAGGGGAGGUUUUAUUAGGGCUGUGUGAGAGUGUCUGAGGGGAGGUUUUAUUAGGGCUGUGUGAGAGUGUCUGAGGGGAGGUUGUAUUAGGGCUGUGUGAGAGUGUCUGAGGGGAGGUUGUAUUAGGGCUGUGUGAGAGGGUCUGAGGGGAG
ensembl:lncRNA